rnacentral:rRNA from 1 species
AAUCAACGCUGGCGGCGCGCUUAACACAUGCAAGUCGAACGAGAAAGGGGAGCAAUCCCUGAGUACAGUGGCGUACGGGUGAGUAACACGUGGAUGAUCUAUCUCUUAGUGGGGAAUAACCCUGGGAAACCGGGGAUAAUACCGCAUAAGCUCGAGAGAGGAAAGCAGCAAUGCGCUGAGAGAGGAGUCCGCGGCCGAUUAGCUAGUUGGCAGGGUAAAAGCCUACCAAGGCAUAGAUCGGUAGCCGGCCUGAGAGGGCACACGGCCACACUGGCACUGAAACACGGGCCAGACUCCUACGGGAGGCAGCAGUGGGGAAUCUUGCACAAUGGGGGCAACCCUGAUGCAGCGACGCCGCGUGAGCGAUGAAG